GACGAACGCUGGCGGCGUGCUUAACACAUGCAAGUCGAACGAGAAUCUGCGGAAAGAGGAUUCGUCCAAUUGAAGCAGAGGACAGUGGCGGACGGGUGAGUAACGCGUGAGGAACCUGCCUUUCAGAGGGGGACAACAGUUGGAAACGACUGCUAAUACCGCAUGACACAUCGGAGUCGCAUGGCUCUGAUGUCAAAGNUUAUCGCUGAAAGAUGGCCUCGCGUCUGAUUAGCUAGUUGGUGAGGUAACGGCCCACCAAGGCGACGAUCAGUAGCCGGACUGAGAGGUUGAACGGCCACAUUGGGACUGAGAUACGGCCCAGACUCCUACGGGAGGCAGCAGUGGGGAAUAUUGGGCAAUGGGCGCAAGCCUGACCCAGCAACGCCGCGUGAAGGAAGAAGGCUUUCGGGUUGUAAACUUCUUUGUCAGGGACGAGUAGAAGACGGUACCUGACGAAUAAGCCACGGCUAACUACGUGCCAGCAGCCG
rnacentral:rRNA from 1 species